rnacentral:rRNA from 1 species
AGAAUCAUUCACAAUGGGGGCAACCCUGAUGGUGCAACGCCGCGUGGAGGAUGACGGUCCUAGGAUUGUAAACUCCUGUCAUUGGGGAGUAAGACUUGUUCGUUAAUAGCGUGCAAGUUUGAUAGUACCCAAAGCGGAAGGGACGGCUAACUUCGUGCCAGCAGCCGCGGUAAUCCGGAGGUCCCAAGCGUUGUUCGGAAUCACUGGGCGUAAAGCGUGUGUAGGCUGCGCGGAAAGUCAAAUGUGAAAGCCCGGGGCUCAACCCCGGAACUGCAUUCGAUACUCCCGCGCUAGAGUCAUGGAGAGGUCAGUGGAAUUCCCGGUGUAGCAGUGAAAUGCGUGGAUAUCGGGAGGAACAUCAAUGGCGAAGGCAACUGACUGGACAUGUACUGACGCUCAGACACGAAGGCCAGGGUAGCG